AGUGAACGCUGGCGGUAGGCCUAACACAUGCAAGUCGAACGGCAGCACAGUAAGAGCUUGCUCUUACGGGUGGCGAGUGGCGGACGGGUGAGGAAUACAUCGGAAUCUACUUUUUCGUGGGGGAUAACGUAGGGAAACUUACGCUAAUACCGCAUACGACCUACGGGUGAAAGCAGGGGAUCUUCGGACCUUGCGCGAUUGAAUGAGCCGAUGUCGGAUUAGCUAGUUGGCGGGGUAAAGGCCCACCAAGGCGACGAUCCGUAGCUGGUCUGAGAGGAUGAUCAGCCACACUGGAACUGAGACACGGUCCAGACUCCUACGGGAGGCAGCAGUGGGGAAUAUUGGGCAAUGGGCGCAAGCCUGAUCCAGCCAUACCGCGUGGGUGAUGAAGGCCUUCGGGUUGUAAAGCCCUUUUGUUGGGAAAGAAAAGCAGCAUGUUAAUACCCCGCUGUUCUGACGGUACCCAAAGAAUAAGCACCGGCUAACUUCGUG
rnacentral:rRNA from 1 species